UGCGCACUCCUACGGGAGGCAGCAGUGGGGAAUUUUGGACAAUGGGCGAAAGCCUGAUCCAGCAAUGCCGCGUGUGUGCUGAAGGCCUUCGGGUUGUAAAGCACUUUUGGCGGGAACGAAAAGGACCGUGCCAAUACCAUGGUCUGAUGACGGUACCCGCAGAAUAAGCACCGGCUAACUACGUGCCAGCAGCCGCGGUAAUACGUAGGGUGCAAGCGUUAAUCGGAAUUACUGGGCGUAAAGAGUGCGCAGGCGGUUUUGCAAGACCGAUGUGAAAUCCCCGGGCUUAACCUGGGAACUGCAUUGGUGACUGCAAGGCUAGAGUGUGUCAGAGGGAGGUGGAAUUCCGCAUGUAGCAGUGAAAUGCGUAGAUAUGCGGAGGAACACCGAUGGCGAAGGCAGCCUCCUGGGAUAACACUGACGCUCAUGCACGAAAGCGUGGGGAGCAAACAGGAUUAGAAACCCCCGUAGUCCAGAAGUG
rnacentral:rRNA from 1 species